UACGAGGGCCUCGAACGUUGUCCGGAUUUAUUGGGCGUAAAGCGUCCGCAGGUGGUGAUGUAAGUCAAUGGUCAAAUCCUCGAGCUCAACUUGGGGACUGCCAUUGAUACUGCAACACUUGAGGUUGGGAGAGGUAAGCGGAACUAUCGGUGUAGUCGUAAUAAGCGCUGAUAUCGAUAGGAACACCAAAGGCGAAGGCAGCUUACUAGAACAUACCUGACACUCAUGGACGAAAGCGUGGGUAGCGAAAGGG
rnacentral:rRNA from 1 species